rnacentral:tRNA from 1 species
AGGGAUAUAGCUCAGUGGUAGAGCACAUGCUUAGCACGCAUGAGGUCUUGGGUUCGAUCCCUAGUGCCUCCA